rnacentral:misc_RNA from 1 species
AAGACUAUAGACCUGCGGAGUACCUGCGGGGGAUCAUUAUCGUAUUGUAACAAUUGGGGGGGCCACCGUGGGCUGUCGCUGACCCUUUGAAAGGGGGGUCGUGCACGCCCCCAUAGUGUCAUCCUCAUACAAUCCAACUCACCUCUGUGCAUCACCGCGUGGGUUCCUUUCUGGGUCGAGUCAGACUGGCUCAGAAAAAAGGGGCUUGCGUUUUCCAUACAAAUACCCUUAUAAAUCCAG